AUCAUCUUCAAGAUAGAAUACAAUUGGUCCGCGGUCUGCUGGAAAGGUUAUGACUGUGGAUGCAAAUGAUUUUCUCGCUAACCAGAACACGGGCCGAGGGUCACGGCAGGUCACUGCCUCUCGCUGUGUGCCGGUAGCAGACACAGACGGUUAACGACCGGGCACAGCAUCAAAGAGCCAGGCAGUUAGUGGCGACGUCGCAGCGGUGUCGGGGUGAGCCGUAAUGUAUUGUGCUGCAAACAAGAAGGAUUGCAGGAUCCCUGCCUCCCAGCCCGUGGGAGCCCGCGGUGACGCCGGAGCUCAGGUAUAUGGAUGGCCUGAGGAGGUGUCCAUCAUUCAUAAAACAUGCCUCCGUACGCGGCCGAAUUGAUCUUGCAAAAGAAGCAGGGUGGCACAGCUACCACUUCAUUAGUCUUCUCGCGCCACAAAUCACCCUGCACCAAGGGACCGCAGCCACCCCCGCCACCCUCAGCUCUCCUCUCCUCAAAGGCCCGGGGGAAAGGGAGGCUGUAUAGAUAACAACACCAUGAUAGCAGUGUUAUAACAGCUUGUUAGCAUUGUGUUAAUGUUAGCUCAACAUCAGAGUGAUGGUACAACACAGGGAUGGUGAAGGUCUAGCACUGAAUUAGGAAUGAGCUCAGAUCAAGAAGGAGGCGACAUCAGAGCAGCCAGAGCAAAUCAAAGUUAAAAAAACGCUGAAAUGCACACAAAUCUUGUCAAUGGUAAUUGAUAGCUAGUGGUCAUUUUGAGAGUCCCGGAUGAAAUCAAGUGCCUUCUCCAUAAAACAAUGUCAAAUAUUGAUGAUAUUUAUUUUUCAUAGUUCCAAAAUAAAUUGCCCCAUUCCUCUACUAUUUUUGAUGAAUGUUUUUUAUUGCCCUUUUUGUUGUUGUUGGAGCUGCUUGAGAGAAUUGAGCAUGGUCUUUUCUGCAAACGUUUCCAGCUCACCAGAGAAACCCUGGAGAACACAACCAUCACUGGCCACAAUAUCAGAUCCUCUCUGCUUCGCUCUGAAAUUACUGGCUAAAAUGCAAGGAGGAAAAUACAAAACUUAAGGCCUACGUCCCUUUUUUUAUGUUUACUGACGACGUUGGUUGACAUUAAUAUCUUCAAUGAAGGAAUUAUACCUGAUGAAAAUAAAUAGUCAAACUUAACUCGUAAAAUCACGUUUUCUAUCAAAUUGUCUGUUACACACCUGCAGUGCAUACAGCAGCCUGAUCACUAGAAAAAUACUUCGAUUUCGAACGUUUGAAAAGGUCUUGAGAAUGUCAAUACAGUGUAUGCCUUUGUAGUGUGGAAAUAUUUAAUAUAUUUAUAUACAGUAUAUCUUACAUGUGAGCCGUAAUAAGACUAAUCAAUUAGCCUAUAGACAUGUUUAUCUGACUCUCAAUAAAGAUUAUUUAGCAAUAUGCAAGAAAUUACAGUUGAGUUACAGCAAUAGGCAAUCAAAAAAUGUCUGAGAAUGGAAUUCUAAAUUCAAGAGUAUUUAAUUACUUUGUAAAAUGAAUGUAUUCACAUACAAGGCAUAAAGCUUAAGUUAUAAAGCAUUGACAAGCAUUACAAGGCAUUAUUCUAAGCCUGAUCAGAAAGGGGGAAAGGGGGAGAGAGAGAGACAAAGAAACCAUGGCUUGAGCCAUAGCUCAUGGGAGAGGGAGAGAGAGAAUGUAGGUAUCUCUCCAGCGCAUGUCAGGAACUAAAUGGAAAAGAGACAUUGAAAUUAAGACACUUUAUAAACAUCUGACCAUGUUUGAAUUCAAAAUCGGAGUUGUUGACCAAUUGCAUUACCCGUUGAGUUAACCUUAAAUUAGAUAUCAGACGUACAGACCUGUAAAGACAUCAGAACCUCUAAUACCCAGAAGUGUGACAGGAGGGGGUUGGUGAGAUAACGAGGCAUUCCUAAAACAACACAAAGCAAUCCUUGCAUACAGUAGAUAAGAGUCACUUCGGGGGCUAGGCCGCCCUACAUAAUCCUCCCUUGAACACAUCUGAUUCUGCAUCAGACAGAAGUGUUCAAAACCGGACGGCCAGCGCUGUAGUCACUGUAAACAAUCUUCAGAGCAGCAGUUCAUGAUCCUUGCAGCAUCACUUCAAAAAUGUCCGUUUGGCGGGUAGCAUUGUCUUCUUUAGACAUGCAAAUGUUCUUAGGUAACAUCUUCCCUGCAAACAAGUUAGAAAUGAAUGCUCCAUUUUUAAGAGCAAAACCCAGAACUGAAGGUACGCCAAGACGUCACAUAUUCAUUCACAUUUCAAUUAACAUAAAACUGUCUGGUUAUCUGAUUGGAUUGGUCAAUAGCAACUUCAUAUGUGGUUGUUUCAAAUCAGUCAGAUGAAUAUACAUUAUAUCAAAGAUCACUGCAUCAUUUAAAAUAUGAUAUGAAAACAUGAAAACAAACUCCUUGUGUCUUAACAGGAGCCAAUACAUUUUGUCUAGCCAUCUGUAUACAUCACAGAAAGUACAUUCACAAAAGUAACUUAUAUAGCCGUCACAAAUGGAUAUAAAGAAUGAUGGAGUUGCAAAGGAAGAAAUUAUUAGCACAUCGUCAAAUAAUCAACAUUUUAAGAGAAAACUCAAAAUCUACCCUAUGCUGCAAGUAGAAUCAAAAAGGGCGACACCUCCCUAAAUCCCAACGUCUCCGCAUAGUAUGACCUCUUCUGUGACAAGAGUUACAAAACCUAACUGAAUAGUUGGUCCUACUCUGUGGGUCGGCAAGCUGCCUGAAACGGGCAGGUGGAUUUCCUCCUCAUAGGUUCCAACAGUGCCCGACCGUAUGCCCAUCCCAUAUACAGAAAUUACAACUACGCUUUGUGGGCUGUUUGGGAUUAGCCUCUGUACAUGUCUCAAUAGCUGCAAUAGGGGCUAUUUUUAUAGCUAGGUCACUUUGGAGAUGAUUUGCGUUCUGUGCUAACAAGUCUUGCUUCGCGUCAUGUAGAAAAGACCUAGUCAAAUCAUGCUCUUUUUCGAAUGCUUGAAGUUCUGCUCGCAACUGCUUUAUUUUGCCCUCUGAUGUCUCUGGGACUUCACAGUGGUAUCAAGCAUGUUCAUCACUAGUUUACUGUGUCACAAUUCGUUCUUCCCGAGUAAAAACACUGCGAGCUCUACAAUUAACAUCUUCUUUGAUUUUUUUCGAAUACAUCUCAACAUAUUGCCAGUAAUGGAGGGUUUCAUUCCUAGUCAAAUCAAAAGUGUGACCGUUGUUGCCUUUCUUGAUCAAAUUAUUAAUACGAGAUGAAUGCCAUAGCUCAAAAAAUAUCAGUCGCCUACAUAUUCACCAUCACGUAAGACACAUAUUCGUUAUACAGUAUAUAGGGGAAUCGAAUGUAAUAAACUCCAAUUAAGUUCAAAGCAUCCAUAAAAAAUAUCAUGUCGGGGUCAUCAUUUAUGACCUGAUUCAGGAAUCUAGACGUAUGUCGCACAACACACAAGAGAGGCAUUUGAACGUCUUUUUAUUUUAUUUUCAUCAAAAUGCGUUUUUGGCAGAAAUGCCUUCUGGAACAUGUGAACUUUCAUGUUCCAGAAGGCAUACGGAUACAAUUGUUAAAUUAGGAGCCAAGUUGGUUUAGCCACGGAAAAAGUCAGGAACCUUCCUGCUAGCCAUGAUUGGCUGAGAUAAUGGGUGGGCUGAACAUGCCAGGAGUUGAGUUUGGAUUAGUCUGCCGUGUAGAAUGCUUCUGUCUAUAAUGUGAGCUGCUCAAAAGUUUAGCUAAUUUUCUGAACAACAUCUAUGCCUUGAAUUUAGCACGGUACCGACAGAUCAGUUGGAAAAAGUUGUGAUGGGCUACUUUCUGCACACGCCACAGUCAGUGUGAACCGGAGUGACUUGACACAACGCUGGCAAACAAGAUUUAAUGUAGUGUGUUUACCAGAGACCAUAAUGUGAAGAACAACAUGUCCUGCACUAAAGUCAGAUUAGGAACUAGGCCAAGGACUUGAUUUUUUACCUGGAUUUUUCCCAUAUUGUAGGCAACUACUUUUACCACUAUUAAUCUUGAAAUCUUUGGUUGUUUACUGCACUACUCACUCUGUUUAGCACAUGGCCUCACAUGUGAAUCCACCUCUACGCAGACGACACCAUUCUGUAUACUUCUGGCCCUUCCUUGGACACUGUGCUAUCUAACCUCCAAACGAGCUUCAAUGCCAUACAACACUCCUUCCGUGGCCUCCAACUGCUCUUAAACGCUAGUAAAACCAAAUGCAUGCUUUUCAACCGUUCGCUGCCUGCACCCGCAUGCCCGACUAGCAUCACCACCCUGGACGGUUCCGACAUAGAAUAUGUGGACAUCUAUAAGUACCUAGGUGUCUGGCUAGACUGCAAACUCUCCUUCCAGACUCAUAUCAAACAUCUCCAAUCCAAAAUCAAAUCUAGAGUCGGCUUUCUAUUUCGCAACAAAGCCUCCUUCACUCACGCCGCCAAACUUACCCUAGUAAAACUGACUAUCCUACCGAUCCUCGACUUCAGCGAUGUCAUCUACAAAAUAGCUUCCAAUACUCUACUCAGCAAACUGGAUGCAGUUUAUCACAGUGCCAUCCGUUUUGUUACUAAAGCACCUUAUACGACCCACCACUGCGACCUGUAUGCCCUAGUCGGCUGGCCCUCGCUACAUGUUCGUCGUCAGACCCACUGGCUCCAGGUCAUCUAUAAGGCUAUGCUAGGUAAAGUGCCGCCUUAUCUCAGUUCACUGGUCACGAUGGCUACACCCACCCGUAGCACGCGCUCCAGCAGGUGUAUCUCACUGAUCAUCCCUAAAGCCAAAACCUCAUUUGGACGCCUUUCCUUCCAGUUCUCUGCUGCCUGCGACUGGAACGAAUUGCAAAAAUCUCUGAAGUUGGAGACUUUUAUCUCCCUCAACAACUUUAAACAUCUGCUAUCCGAGCAGCUAACCGAUCGCUGCAGCUGUACAUAGUCCAUCGGUAUAUAGCCCACCCAAUUUACCUACCUCACCCCCCAUACUGCUUUUAUUUAUUUACUUUUCUGCUCUUUUGCACACCAGUAUCUCUACUUGCACAUGAUCAUCUGAUGAUUUAUCACUCCAGUGUUAAUCUGCUAAAUUGUAAUUAUUUGAUUUAUUGCCUACCUCCUCAUGCCUUUUGCACACAUUGUAUAUAGAUUCUCUUUUUUCUACCAUGUUAUUGACUUGUUCAUUGUUUACUCCAUGUGUAACUCUGUGUUGUUGUCUGUUCACACUGCUAUGCUUUAUCUUGGCCAGGUCGCAGUUGCAAAUGAGAACUUGUUCUCAACUAGCCUACCUGGUUAAAUAAAGGUGAAAUAAAAAAUAAAAUAAAUAAAUAAAAAAUAGAGAUGGGUGGGACUAAGGCUUAAGGGGUGUGAACAAUGCUGAAUGGGUGUAGACAAAGAAGAGCUCUCCAGUAGUGGUACCAAAACAUUCUAGGGCCAUUUUUUCAAAAGUGAGUUUAUCAACUUUCAAAGCAGAAUUACUUUUCCAUUAUUCAUCAACUGCAGUGUAUGAUAUAGACUUUUCUAGCUUGAAUCUCUACUUUUAUCCAAUGUAAAAACUACACUAUUUCAAAUGUUGCUACUUAGGACCGAAUCUAUGUGGUGGGUCACAUUUACCACGUGGUAAUAUUUAUUUGUGUAUAUAGAGUGACUUCGGUAAGUGUUCAGACCCCUUGACUUUUUCCACAUUUUGUUACGUUACAGCCUUAUUCUAAAAUUUAUUAAAUAAUUGUAAAUCCCCAGCAAUCUCCACACAAUAUCCCAUAGUGACAAAGUGAAAACAGUUUUUUUUUUAACUUUUGCAAAUGUUUAAAAACAAAAACAGAAAUACCUUAUUUAAGUAAGUAUUCAGACCUUUGGCUAUGAGACGCGAAUAUGAGCUCAGGUGCAUCCUGUUUCCAUUGAUCAUCCUUGAGUUGUUUCUACAGCUUGAUUGGAGUCCACCUGUGGUAAAUUCAAUUGAUUGGACAUGAUUUGGAAAGGCACACACCUGUCUAUAUAUGGCCCCACAGUUGACAGUGCAUGUCAGAGCAAACACCAAGCCAUGAGGUCAAUGGAAUUGUCCAUAGAGAUCCGAGACAGGAUUGUGUCAAUGCACAGAUUUGGGGAAGAGUACCAAAACAUUUUUGCAGCAUUGAAGGUCCCCAAGAACACAGUGGCCUCCAUCGUUCUUAAACGGAAAGAAGUUUUGAACCACCAAGACUCUUCCUAGAGCUGGCCGCACGGCCAAACUGAGCAAUCGGGGGAGAAGGGCCUUGGUCAGGGAGGUGACCAAGAAACUGAUGGUCACUCUGACAGAGCUCCAGAGUUCAUCUGUGGAGAUGGGAGAACCUUCCAGAAGGACAACUUUCUCUGCAGCAUUCCACCAAUCAGGACUUUAUGGUAGAGUGGCCAGACGGAAGCCAAUCCUCAGUAAAAGGCACAUGACAGCCCGCAA